CUGUUGGCCGCUUCCGGGGUGCAGAGUGGUGUCAGAACAGGUAGGGACUACUAGUUUUUACUGGCCGGCUGCUAGGGUCCCUGGGUGCUAAGCAUUCUGCGACUCAGUACUGGGUCAUGAUCCAAACUUUGAAAACCUCAGGCAAAGUUUUACAGCU